GUGAGGAAUUUUCCGCAAUGGGCGAAAGCCUGACGGAGCAAUGCCGCGUGAAGGAUGAAGGCCUAUGGGUUGUAAACUUCUUUUCUCAGAAAAGAAUUAUGACGGUAUCUGAGGAAUAAGCAUCGGCUAACUAUGUGCCAGCAGCCGCGGUAAGACAGAGGAUGCAAGCGUUAUCCGGAAUGAUUGGGCGUAAAGCGUCUGUAGGUUGUUUAAAAAGUAUUCUGUCAAAGAUUAGGGCUUAACCCUAGAUAGGCAGAAUAAACUUUUAAGCUAGAGUUUGGUAGAGGCAGAGGGAAUUCCCGGUGGAGCGGUGAAAUGCGUAGAUAUCGGGAGGAACACCAAAGGCGAAGGCACUCUGCUGGGCCAAUACUAACACUGAGAGACGAAAGCGAGGGGAGCAAAUGGGAUUAGAAACCCCGGUAGUCC
rnacentral:rRNA from 1 species